ACUGUUCUCAAGGAUGGCCCAUCUGCCUCCUGGACUGUGGCUCCCAGCCUACCCCGGGGAAGAUGCCGCAUGCCAGCAGAAAAGGAACAGGAGGGCCCCGUUCUAUGCUGAACAGAGGCAGAAGAUGAAUGCAACCAGCCUCAUACUCCGCUCGCAGACUCUGGAAGUGGCGUCGGACCAAGAAACCCCGGACGCAGGCCUGGCGUGGAGAAUAAAGGAGAAAGAAAAUGCUCAUCACUGCAGAAAUGGGGCAUUUUGAGGAUUUUCCUGGAGAGGUCGUCUCAGUGACUACGAGGGGUUCUGGACACGGGAAAAGGAGAGGUGACGCUGUACGUCAGGACAGUCCCCAGGAGUUCAAGGAAGGAUGCCGGACUAGCUCCCCCUCUUGAAUUUAAGGCCCUUCCCGCCACUUCCUGGAUCCCGCAGGAGCGUAUGGUGGGAGUGGAAGGCCUGUGGGGGUCCGUGGGUCCCACCAUUCUUCAGGGUGGUGGGGGUGGUUCGGUAACUCCAGAGGCAGGCACGAGGGUAGGUGACUGAACGUAGUAGCCUUCUCUCGUUCGAAGGUCCCAAUCCGAGAUCCCGUGCUGCGACUCGUGCGCCCCGGGCCCGCUCCGCACCUGCAGCACCGACACCCUCGGAAUCAACCGUUCCCGCUCCAUCCCGGCGCCAACAGACCAGCAGCUGACCAGCGCCUGCCAGUUGCGUCACUAGUUCGCGCCGUGCGCGGCCCCGCCCCCUGCCGUCUCCAAGGCAACCAUCCUCCUCUCGCGGCUACCUGGUCGCGGGUUCCCAAUUCCCACUCCCAGAGCCGCGCUGGGAAUUCCAGCCCCACCUCCCGCCACGCCGAUCGGGACCGUCCAAACCGGUGUGUCGCGCAGGGGUGACUCCGGGUUCUUCUCCGAGUGAAGGCGCAAAGAGGGGAGGAAGCACACGGA